rnacentral:lncRNA from 1 species
UCAGAAUAGUCAAACAAUGAAACAGGGGAAACUUAAAUAAAAAUAUGGUAUUGAUUGGUCAAACAAAAAAUCUGAAAAUUUGAUGGAUGAAAUAUAUAUGAGUCUAUUUUUAUGGAAAAUUAAUGUCAUUUGAUUUGGAGUUUCUUAUCUCCAGUUAUGAAUAAUUUAGUGACUGUUGCUCAGGAAGACAGCUUGUAGUGAC